GAGAGGGGCCUUAAGGCGGCAACGGGAUCUGCUAACUCCCCUACCUGCGGUUCGAUCCCGCAGACCACUCG
rnacentral:tRNA from 1 species